CUCCCAUCUCUCGCUCGCCUCCACCUCCGACACAACUACUUGUUUGGAACAAUUCCGCCCAGCAUACGCACGCUUUUCGCUCUCACCUCCCUCGAUCUCUCGCUAAAUCGCCUUUCCGGCAAUCUGCCCCUCGCUCUUGCCCGCCUCCCUAACCUGACUGAGAUCGACCUUUCUUCAAACAAAUUCAUUGGUGAGAUUCCUCCUUGUUUCUUCGCCAACUGGACCAAGCUGACCUCCCUCAAAUUCUACAAAAAUUUACUUGGUGGCACACUGCCUCCAGAGAUUGGCCAGCUCGAGAGUCUACGUGAGCUUUAUUUAUUCAAAAACAAUCUCGCUGGUCCCAUCCCUUCGACCCUUGGUAACUUGACCAACCUAAGAUUCCUUGAACUCUACACAAAUCAGUUCUCUAGUAAUAUUCCCCAGGAAUUGGGCAAUCUAGUUAACCUCUUGGAUAUACGAAUCUCAUAUAAUAAUUUAACAGGUUCCAUCCCUUCUAGUUUAGGCAAUCUUAUCAAACUCAAGACCUUGUACCUUAGCGUAAAUAAUUUAUCUGGCACUAUCCCUCAUGAAUUAGGCAACCUAGUGAACUUACGUGAUCUAAAAAUCUCGACAAAUCAACUAUCAGGCUCCAUCCCUUCCACUUUAGGAAACCUCACCAUGCUUAACACCUUCUACCUCUACACCAAUAAUUUAUUUGGCACAAUCCCUCAUGAAUUAGGUAAACUAGUGAACUUAUAUUCUCUAGCUAUCUAUGGAAAAUCAACUAUCAGGCUCCAUCCCUUCCACUUUAGGAAACCUCACCAUGCUUGACAGCUUGUACCUCUCCACCAAUCAUUUAUCGGGCUCCAUUCCUUCAAUCCUUGGUAACCUGACCAACCUAACAGUGCUUGACCUAUCCACAAACCGAUUCUCUGGUAAUAUUCCCCAUGAACUAGGCAAUUUAGUUAACCUCUUAUAUCUAGGAAUCUCAUACAAUUAUUUAACAGGUUCCAUCCCUUCCUGUUUUGGCACCAUCCCUCAUGAAUUAGGCAGCCUAGUAAACUUACGUGAUCUACAAAUCGCGAAUAAUCAACUAUUGGGCUCCAUCCCUUCCACUUUAGGAAACCUCACCAUGCUUGACACCUUGCACCUUCAAGGUAAUCAUUUAUCUAAAACCAUUCCGCAUGAAUUAGGCAACCUAGUGAACUUACGUGUUCUAGCUUUCUCAGAAAAUCAACUAUCGGGCUCCAUCCCUUCCACUGUAGAAACCUCACCAUGCUUGACACCUUGUUCCUCAGCGACAAUCAUUUAUCAGGCUCUUUGCCCCAAGAACUGGG
rnacentral:lncRNA from 1 species